ACUACGUGCCAGCAGCCGCGGUAAUACGUAGGGCGCGAGCGUGUCCGGGAAUUAUUGGGCGUAAAGAGCUUGUAGGCGGUUUGUCGCGUCUGCUGUGAAAGGCCGGAGCUUAACUCCGUGUAUUGCAGUGGGUACGGGCAGACUAGAGUGCAGUAGGGGAGACUGGAAUUCCUGGUGUAGCGGUGGAAUGCGCAGAUAUCAGGAGGAACACCGAUGGCGAAGGCAGGUCUCUGGGCUGUAACUGACGCUGAGAAGCGAAAGCAUGGGGAGCGAACAGGAUUAGAUACCCUGGUAGUCCAUGCCGUAAACGUUGGGCACUAGGUGUGGGGGACAUUCCACGUUUUCCGCGCCGUAGCUAACGCAUUAAGUGCCCCGCCUGGGGAGUACGGCCGCAAGGCUAAAACCCAAAGAAAUUGACGGGGGCCCGCACAAGCGGCGGAGCAUGCGGAUUAAUUCGAUGCAACGCGAAGAACCUUACCAAGGCUUGACAUAUACUGGACCGCAUCAGAGAUGGUGUUUCCCUUCGGGGCUGGUAUACAGGUGGUGCAUGGUUGUCGUCAGCUCGUGUCGUGAGAUGUUGGGUUAAGUCCCGCAACGAGCGCAACCCUCGUUCUAUGUUGCCAGCACGUUAUGGUGGGGACUCAUAGGAGACUGCCGGGGUCAACUCGGAGGAAGGUGGGGAUGACGUCAAAUCAUCAUGCCCCUUAUGUCUUGGGCUUCACGCAUGCUACAAUGGCCGGUACAGAGGGUUGCGAUACUAUGAGGUGGAGCUAAUCCCUAAAAGCCGGUCUCGGUUCGGAUUGGGGUCUGCAACUCGACCCCAUGAAGUCGGAGUCGCUAGUAAUCGCAGAUCAGCAACGCUGCGGUGAAUACGUUCCCGGGCCUUGUACACACCGCCCGUCAAGUCACGAAAGUUGGUAACACCCAAAGCCGGUGGCCUAACCCUUUUGGGAGGGAGCCGUCUAAGGUGGGAUUGGCGAUUGGGACUAAGUCGUAACAAGGUAACC
rnacentral:rRNA from 1 species